AUGAGGUUACCUGGAAAAAAUCGGGGCGAUCUAGGCGGGCGAACCUCGCCAACGAACGAUCGGACAUGGGAUAACGGAAGAGGGCGUCGGCUCGACUUCGUCGGUUCCUCGGGCCGAGGCACGUACGGUGAAUAGGGACGGUCGGGGCCGCCCGUACCGGGUCGUGAGAGGUGAAAUUCUAGGAUCGACCCGAGACGAACUGCCGCGAAAGCAUUCGGCAAGGACGCUUUCAUUAAUCAAGAACGAAAGUCGGGGGAUCGAAGACGAUCAGAUACCGUCGUAGUCCCGACCGUAAACGAUGCCGACCGAGGGCCCGGAGGAGUUACGUACGACCCUCCGGGCCCUCCCGCGAGAAAUCAGGAGUAUUCGGGUUCCGGGGGGAGUAUGGUCGCAAGGCCGAAACUUAAAGGAAUUGACGGAAGGGCACCACCAGGAGUGGAAUCUGCGGCUUAAUUUGACUCAACGCGGGGAAAACUCACCAGGUCAGGACACGGUAAGGAUUGACGGACUGAAGGCUCUUUCUCGAUUCC
rnacentral:rRNA from 1 species